rnacentral:rRNA from 1 species
GCUUGUUGGCGGGGUAACGGCCCACCAAGGCGGUGACGGGUAGCUGGUCUGAGAGGAUGGCCAGCCACAUUGGGACUGAGAGACGGCCCAGACUCCUACGGGAGGCAGCAGUGGGGAAUCUUGCGCAAUGGCCGCAAGGCUGACGCAGCGACGCCGCGUGAGGGAUGGAGGCCUUCGGGUUGUAAACCUCUUUCAGCAGGGACGAUUGUGACGGUACCUGCAGAAGAAGCCCCGGCCAACUACGUGCCAGCAGCCGCGGUAAUACGUAGGGGGCGAGCGUUGUCCGGAAUUAUUGGGCGUAAAGAGCUCGUAGGCGGUUUGGUAAGUCGGGUGUGAAACCUCCAGGCUCAACCUGGAGAUGCCACUCGAUACUGCCAUGACUAGAGUCCGGUAGGGGUCCACGGAAUUCCUGGUGUAGCGGUGAAAUGCGCAGAUAUCAGGAGGAACACCGGUGGCGAAGGCGGUGGGCUGGGCCGGAACUGACGCUGAGGAGCGAACGCGUGGGGAGCGAACAGGAUUAGAUACCCUGGUAGUCCACGCCGUAAACGUUGGGAACUAGGUGCGGGCGACAUUCCACGUCGUCCGCGCCGCAGCUAACGCAUUAAGUUCCCCGCCUGGGGAGUACGG